GUCUGAAUAGCUUACAAUUAGAGCGUAACACUGAAGAUGUUAAGGAGAUUUUAGAAUCUUUAGACA
rnacentral:tRNA from 1 species